AGAGUUUGAUCCUGGCUCAGGACGAACGCUGGCGGCGUGCUUAACACAUGCAAGUCGAACGGUGAAGCGCCUUCCUUUGUGGUGGGUGUGGAUGAGUGGCGAACGGGUGAGUAACACGUGAGUAACCUGCCCCCUUCUUCUGGAUAACCGCAUGAAAGUGUGGCUAAUACGGGAUAUUCUGUGCCUGCUGCAUGGUGGGUGUGGGAAAGAUGCGCCUUUGGGUGUUUUUGGUGGGGGAUGGGCUCGCGGCCUAUCAGCUUGUUGGUGGGGUGAUGGCCUACCAAGGCGGUGACGGGUAGCCGGCCUGAGAGGGUGGACGGUCACACUGGGACUGAGACACGGCCCAGACUCCUACGGGAGGCAGCAGUGGGGAAUAUUGCACAAUGGGCGCAAGCCUGAUGCAGCGACGCCGCGUGAGGGAUGGAGGCCUUCGGGUUGUGAACCUCUUUCGCCAGUGAAGAAGGUCCUGCUCUUUGUGGUGGGGUUGACGGUAGCUGGGUUAAUGAAGCGCCGGCUAACUACGUGCCAGCAGCCGCGGUAAUACGUAGGGCGCGAGCGUUGUCCGGAAUUAUUGGGCGUAAAGAGCUCGUAGGCGGCUGGUCGCGUCUGUCGUGAAAUCCUCUGGCUUAACUGGGGGCUUGCGGUGGGUACGGGCCGGCUUGAGUGCGGUAGGGGAGACUGGAACUCCUGGUGUAGCGGUGGAAUGCGCAGAUAUCAGGAAGAACACCGGUGGCGAAGGCGGGUCUCUGGGCCGUUACUGACGCUGAGGAGCGAAAGCGUGGGGAGCGAACAGGAUUAGAUACCCUGGUAGUCCACGCCGUAAACGUUGGGCACUAGGUGUGGGGGGCCUUUUCCGGGUUUUCCGCGCCGUAGCUAACGCAUUAAGUGCCCCGCCUGGGGAGUACGGCCGCAAGGCUAAAACUCAAAGGAAUUGACGGGGGC
rnacentral:rRNA from 1 species